rnacentral:piRNA from 1 species
UAGCUUAUCUACUGUCUGCACACCGCCC